UAUUUUAAUUAAAAUAUAUUAUAUUUAAAUUUAUAAAUAGUUAUAUAAAUUUUAAUUAAAUACAAUAUAAUAGGAUAAUUAGUUUUAAAGAUUUGAUAAUUAAAACAUUUCCAAGGGAUGGGAUAUUUGUCAGGGACCAAAUCGUCUCUCCCAUACACAGACAUUGCUUCACCUUUUUUUUUUAAUUUUUUUUUUAAUAUCAGACAUCUUUUUCUUUGUAAUUUGUCCUUUUCUAUGGAGAGGUCAAGUUAAAGAACCGCACGACAGAAAAUCAGGCAUUAUGGGCAAUUGGCAAAGCACAUGGUUCUCAUGUUUCAGUACGAGUGCACGUAUUAGUAGCUGAUGGAUUCUCGUCUUCAUGUCCGGACUCAAAGUUAGGCCAGGAAAGGAAGGUGGCUCAGCCUCAGCCAGCCAAGCGCACCAAUCCAAACAGGGAUCAUUUUAUACAAAGUGCAAGCCCCCAACAGCCUGAUUACCGUUUCUCUUAGAGUUCAACAUGCCAACUAAAUUUUGGAGGAAUCUAACAAAACGGGAAGAAUGUUCAGUACAUGGUGCAGUAAACAAUGGCACAAUCAAUGACUUUUAGUUUGCAUAUGGGAAGAGACAAUAAAUGAGCUAGUUCGGGUUGCAUGGAAGACUAAAACUUCGAUGCAGUACCAGAACAUGAUCUACGAGAACAAGAAGGGUGGGAAAAAGCCUGAUUUUCUAAAGCCAGAAUUAUAGGAGAUAUGGCAGUAGCAUUGGAACAAGCCAGAAGUGAAACGAAUCUCAGAGUUAUAUGUAAAGAAUAGGAUGUCGUAGUCUAAUGAUGGAUCCAGGCCAUCUACUCAUACCGAAGGCACUGCUACCCAUUACGAGCA